UACGGGGGGAGCAAGCGUUGUCCGGAUUUAUUGGGUUUAAAGGGUGCGUAGGUGGCCUUAUAAGUCAGUGGUGAAAGCCUGCAGCUUAACUGUAGGACUGCCAUUGAUACUGUAGGGCUUGAGUACUGAUGAGGUAGACGGAAUUGAUAGUGUAGCGGUGAAAUGCAUAGAUAUUAUCGAGAACACCGAUUGCGAAGGCAGCUUACUAAGGAGUUACUGACACUGAGGCGCGAAAGCGUGGGGAGCGAACAGG
rnacentral:rRNA from 1 species